rnacentral:rRNA from 1 species
CCCAGACUCCUACGGGAGGCAGCAGUGGGGAAUAUUGCACAAUGGGGGGAACCCUGAUGCAGCGACGCCGCGUGGGUGAAGGAGUACUUCGGUACGUAAAACCCUAUCAGCAGGAAAGAAAAUGACGGUACCUGACUAAGAAGCCCCGGCUAACUACGUGCCAGCAGCCGCGGUAAUACGUAGGGGGCAAGCGUUAUCCGGAUUUACUGGGUGUAAAGGGAGCGUAGACGGCAGUGCAAGUCCGGAGUGAAAGCCCGGGGCUCAACCCUGGGACUGCUCUGGAAACUGUAAAGCUGGAGUGCGGGAGGGGCAGGCGGAAUUCCUGGUGUAGCGGUGAAAUGCGUAGAUAUCAGGAGGAACACCGGCGGCGAAGGCGGCCUGCUGGACCGUAACUGACGUUGAGGCUCGAAAGCGUGGGGAGCAAACAGGAUUAGAUACCCUCGUAC